rnacentral:rRNA from 1 species
GAUGAACGCUGGCGGCGUGCCUAACACAUGCAAGUCGAGCGAUUCUCUUCGGAGAAGAGCGGCGGACGGGUGAGUAACGCGUGGGUAACCUGCCCUGUACACACGGAUAACAUACCGAAAGGUAUGCUAAUACGAGAUAAUAUGCUUUUAUCGCAUGGUAGAAGUAUCAAAGUUUUUGCGGUACAGGAUGGACCCGCGUCUGAUUAGCUAGUUGGUAAGGUAACGGCUUACCAAGGCGGCGAUCAGUAGCCGACCUGAGAGGGUGAUCGGCCACAUUGGAACUGAGACACGGUCCAAACUCCUACGGGAGGCAGCAGUGGGGAAUAUUGCACAAUGGGCGAAAGCCUGAUGCAGCAACGCCGCGUGAGCGAUGAAGGCCUUCGGGUCGUAAAGCUCUGUCCUCAAGGAAGAUAAUGACGGUACUUGAGGAGGAAGCCCCGGCUAACUACGUG